rnacentral:rRNA from 1 species
CCCUUAGAUGUUCUGGGCUGUACGCGCGCUACACUGAUGCACUCAACGAGUUUACGACCUUGCCCGAUAGGGUUGGGUAAUCUUUUUAAAAUGCAUCGUGAUGGGGAUAGAUUAUUGCAAUUAUUAAUCUUCAACGAGGAAUUCCUAGUAAGCGCGAGUCAUCAGCUCGUGCUGAUUACGUCCCUGCCCUUUGUACACACCGCCCGUCGCUCCUACCGAUUGAGUGCUCAGGUGAAUAAUUCGGACUGCAGCAAUGUUUGGAUCCCGAACGUUGCAGCGGAAAGUUUAGUGAACCUUAUCACUUAGAGGAAGGAGAAGUCGUAACA